GCUGGUUCCGCUAAUGAGUUCACAUGAGGGAGACUCCUUUUAUCCCAUUCAUUCUCAACAUUCAAUAGCCUUGCAUAGUAACUCUUCCACACUUUUUUCUUGUCUGAAUUCUAAGUGCAAACAUACCAUUAUUCAUGCAUAUACACUUCUCUCCCACAAUAUCCUGAUUAUCUCUGACACACUGACUCACAAUCUGGAACACCCCAUGUCUCUGAUCUUCAAGUUGUAGGGCAUUGGCAAACCUCUUCCUUUCCGCUUUUAUGUUAACUAGGUAAGCUGACGUCUCACUUCCCUUUUAGCUUCUUGAAAUGAUUUCUGCUACCCACUCUUUUCCAUUCUUUCCAGACCCAUCUCUUCUCUUUUGUGGCCCUAUCAACAUCACUGUUCUACUACCAUGUCACCCUGGUCUGGAAGAAGCUUUGCUCCCACCACAGAUUUGGUCUGUCACCCUCAGUCGAUUGUCUCAUAGGAACUUCCAGUUGUCUUCUACAUCUUAUAUCUCUAUCUCUUCCUCCUUCUCAUCAAAAGCUUCAUUAAGAACAUCUCUAAAUCUCUGCCCAUUUGGAGGAUCCUUGAGCUUCCACAACCUCCUUUUCUAUAUUGGUUUGUGUCACUGCAUCCUUCUGGCUCUAAGUCUGAAGUCACUAAUCACUACCCUAUGCUGCACUGUACAUUCUUCCUCCAGGAAAGAUUUUGCAUUUACUAGCAUACACUUGUUCCUGUGUCUCUUGGGAAUGUAGUUGAUUUAGCUGGUGUGCCCACCAGAUUGGUAAGUGAUCAGAUGGUUGGCAGGUUUCCUGAAGUAGGUGUUGCAGACUAAUAUGUCAUGAGCA